ensembl:lncRNA
UCAAUGGGGUCUUAAUGGGGCCAUUGGGGUCAAAGGUGUCUUAAUGGUGUCCCAAUGGGGUCAAUGGGGUCCCAAUGGGGUCCCAAUGGGGUCAGUGGGGUCUUAAUGGGGUCCCAAUGGUGUCCCAAUGGGGUUAAUGGGGUCUUAAUGGGGUCCCAAUGGGGUCAGUGGGGUCUUAAUGGGGUCCCAAUGGGGUCCCAAUGGGGUCAUUGGGGUCAAUGGGGGCAAUGGUGUCCCAAUGGGGUCAAUGGGGUCAA